AGAACGAACGCUGGCGGCAUGCCUAACACAUGCAAGUCGAACGCUCCUGGGGCUUCGGUCUCAGGGGAGUGGCGCACGGGUGAGUAGCGCGUGGGAACCUGCCCUGUUGUGGGGGAUAACCGAGGGAAACUUCGGCUAAUACCGCAUAAGCCGGGAAACCGGGAAAGAUUUAUCGCGACAGGAGGGGCCCGCGUCGGAUUAGCUAGUUGGUGGGGUAACGGCCCACCAAGGCAGUGAUCCGUAGCUGGUCUGAGAGGAUGAUCAGCCACACUGGGACUGAGACACGGCCCAGACUCCUACGGGAGGCAGCAGUGGGGAAUAUUGGACAAUGGGCGCAAGCCUGAUCCAGCAAUGCCGCGUGAGUGAUGAAGGCCUUAGGGUUGUAAAGCUCUUUCGCCCGCGACGAUGAUGACGGUAGCGGGAGAAGAAGCCCCGGCUAACUUCGCGCCAGCAGCCGC
rnacentral:rRNA from 1 species